rnacentral:rRNA from 1 species
CCUACGGGAGGCAGCAGUGAGGAAUAUUGGUCAAUGGUCGGGAGACUGAACCAGCCAAGCCGCGUGAGGGAUGAAGGUACAGAGUAUCGUAAACCUCUUUUGUCAGGGAACAAAGGCGGGGACUCGUCCCCGGAUGAGGGUACCUGAAGAAAAAGCAUCGGCUAACUCCGUGCCAGCAGCCGCGGUAAUACGGAGGAUGCGAGCGUUAUCCGGAUUUAUUGGGUUUAAAGGGUGCGCAGGCGGCCUGUUAAGUCAGCGGUAAAAGCCCGGGGCUCAACCCCGGCCAGCCGUUGAAACUGGCAGGCUGGAGUUGGAGAGAAGUACGCGGAAUGCGCGGUGUAGCGGUGAAAUGCUUAGAUAUCGCGCAGAACUCCGAUUGCGAAGGCAGCAUGCCGGCGCUAAACUGACGCUGAGGCACGAAAGUGUGGGUAUCGAACAGGAUUAGAUACCCGUGUAGUC